ACGAACGCUGGCGGCGUGCUUAACCCAUGCAAGUCGCACGGGAUUUAGUAGACAGAUGCCUCGGCUAAAGAUUACUAAUGAGAGUGGCGAACGGGUGAGUAACGCGUGAGCAACCUGCCUAUGACAGUGGGAUAGCCUCGGGAAACCGGGAUUAAUACCGCAUAAAAUCGUAGAAACACAUGUUUUAACGGUCAAAGAUUUAUCGGUCAUAGAUGGGCUCGCGUCUGAUUAGCUAGUUGGUGAGAUAACAGCCCACCAAGGCGACGAUCAGUAGCCGGUCUGAGAGGAAUGACGGACACAUUGGAACUGAGACACAGUCCAAACUCCUACGGGAGGCAGCAGUGGGGAAUAUUGCACAAUGGGGGAAACCCUGAUGCAGCGACGCCGCGUGAACGAAGAAGGUAUUCGUAUCGUAAAGUUCUGUCCUAUGGGAAGAUAAUGACAGUACCAAAGAAGAAAGCGCCGGCUAAAUACGUG
rnacentral:rRNA from 1 species